rnacentral:lncRNA from 1 species
GUAAGUGGAUAUGCGACACAAAUGCGACAAUGGGUGUGAGAGUGAGGAGGAGGAGCAGGAGGAGAAGGAGGAGGAGGAGCAGGAGGAGGAGCAGGUGGAGGAGAAAAGAGACAGGGGCAGCCUACAUUGACAUUGUGUUACACACACACAUGCAUAAUGUAUCCACUGUACUUCACCUCAUAAGCAUAGAAUUCCCCAGAGACAAAUACUGUGUGCAUGUGCAUUUGUAUACAGUUAUCUGCUGUGUGUAUGAAAGUGCUGGUUGCGCAGUAUUGUCAGAGUCUCCGCGCUCCUGUCUCUCCAUGGCAGGACCUGUGCUUCUACAGGACUGCUGCAUACAUCAGCCAAGCCCUCCCAGUAAUUAAACUAAAAGUCUCCAUCAUAAAUCACAGUGCUUCUUUCCCCUUCUCUCUCUUCCUCCCCUGUUCCCACUACCAUCCCUCUCUUCCUCCCCUGUUCCCCGCACCAUCCACCAUGGAAGGCAGGUUUGUGUAAAUCACUAUCGCCUGGGACUGGGAUAGUAACAGAGGGAAGGCAGCUUCUACAUCCCCACACCAUCCACACACCCUGUCCUGUAUUCACUCCAUUACCAGCCAUUAAACACAGUCUCAACCCUUCCCACUACACCUCUCGCCAGGGUUGAAGAGGGCUCACAAGUCAAAACACAGAUUAAUGGAAGAGCGUUGUGUAUUCAAGCCCCUGAACACCUGGACAAGGACAGACAGAAGCAGGUUUAUCUGUCCAAGUAUUCAAAUGAAUCCUGAAACCAACCUCAUUGGAUAUUUGUUGGACAGCUGCGUCUUGUUCUACAAGGCAAGGUAGAGAUUCAAACCCAACCCGUUUAGAGCGUGUCAGCGGGUCAGAUUCCUUUCAAACAGCUGCUUGUAUAUGUAUCACAACCAGCAACAGCCUGUCUCUCCAGCAGCACCUGGGUCACCCAAUCUCCCUCAGUACUAGACCAGGAGUCACUGUGAACCUCUCACACUCUGGUGCUUGACAGACAGCUGACCACCACUGAUUCCCCUGCUGGUAUCUGGUGUCUGAUAUCUGGUGUCUGACACCAUGGUAUUAGAGUAAAAUCAGCCGAGUCAAACACACGUCUGCCUAGAUUGGAACCUUGCUCCCAUCUUCGCCGCCUUCUCCUCCUCUCUCUCUCUAUCUCUCCCUACUCUCACUCCUCUCCUGAGAGUGACACAUGCGUCUGUCCCGUCUAUAGAUAGUCCAUUAGGGCCUGCUGUGAUAUUCCGGUCCCAUGACUCCCCUCGCUCACAUUCACUUGGUGUCAUUUAACCCCGCAGUGCCAGGAUCAGCCCACUUUCAACCGCUAAAACCUCACACCUGUCUCCUUCAAACCACAGACAUAGUCACAAGUAGUCCAUCAAGCAGUCGUAUCCAUGACAGUGUAAAGAAAUUACUCCUGAUGAGCUGUGAUGCGGGAAAAGUGACGUUAUUGCAGUGGAAGUGUGAAUGCUAGGAUGUUAGAUAAAACAAGAACAAGUAAAGCCAUUGAAAGUAAUUACGUGAAUAAGUUUAAUUUGAUUUAUAAAAUCAAUUCUAAACUGCACGGUUGUCCUUCAGAAUAAGAAAAAAAACAGCAAUAAUGAUAGCUAAUUUGAACAAAUUCACCCACAGUGAAGUAAAUGAAUCCACUAUAAGUGAACUAAAGGCAAAAAAUGAACCAUGCUGGUUUAUAUAUAAUGUUUCUGAUAACCGUCGACCUUGUAGAGAUAUAAAAUACUCCCUCUUCACCACUCUCUUAAGAAUAUAUGGCAGUCAUCCACUGGGGUUCACACAUUACAGCUAUACCCUUUUUGCUAUAACACUAAAGCAACUUUGACAAGAGGAGGACGAUGGAAUGGACAGCAGCUCAGCGCUCCGUGCCCUGUCGGAGCAACUGUCAGAAACAACUGCACUGAGAAGACAGCCGAGCUGUCAGACUGACACAGAAUGCACCCACACAUGCAUACACACUACGCAUGUACAGACAGAGACACUAUAGACAUACGCAUACAGUAUGUUGAAUGCACCCACACACAUAGAGCACGUACCGGUAUCAGGGUGAUCUGGCGGGGCGGCGGCCCGUGCGGUGUGGCUGCUGCAGGCAGAGUGUCUGUCUGUUCCCUGGGAGCUGAAUCAGCGACGGAGAGUUUAGGGAUGCAGAGAGGAGAGGAGGGUCAUGGGAGAUGUUGCUUUUCUCACACCGGAUGGGAGGAAGAGGAUGAGAGGAGGAAAAAAAGACCAAAAAGAACCAAUGGCAACGCCACACAUCCUGAGGUCACCGCAACGCAGGGCCUGUAUCAACCUCCAAAGUACGGAUACAAAAAAAUGAAUGUGUCGAUCCCAUCACAGGGAGACUUCAGAGGCAAAAGGGUUGAGAAGAGAAAAAGUAAGCAAAACAUUUCUAAAACAAUACCCUGUCAGCUGACGAUGCUCUGGAGGAGUGGAUGAAGACAUAAGCAUUGAUUUUGAAAUGAAAAGUGGAAAGGUGGACUUCAGAACGCGACGGACCAUCUCUGGGAGAGAAUGGAAGGGCAGCGUGAUCGGAGUAACCCCCCACCGUCCAGGGGCUUAUAUACCCAGCCAGCACUUUCAGCCAGAGGAUUUCGAAAUGGAACUGAAGUCUCAACUGAUGGGGUUGCCAUGUUGUGGAACAUUGAAAAGUGAUGCUAUUCCAUUGAUAUUCCCCUUCACUUCAAAGAGGAAGGCAUCCGAUCAGCCAACAUCAGCGCAGCAGAAAAAAGGACAAGCUGAGAGUUCGAUCCUAUCAACAUCUGCAGAUGCAUCAACACAAAGCUCAGUACCAGGAACUAGUGCCGGUGGUGGCUGGUCCACUCCAGGAGUCUGAGGUGCGGGAGGUUCCUCCGCCCCCUCUGGACAUCGAGGGGGCCCCGGCGUAUGCUGUUCGAGCCAUCCUGGACUCGAGGCGUCGGGCGAGGGGCCUUCAAUACCUUGUGUAGUGAGAGGGGUACGGUCCGAAGGAGAGA